rnacentral:tRNA from 4 species
GGGGCCAUAGCUCAGUUGGGAGAGCGCUUGGAUGGCAUUCAAGAGGUCGUCGGUUCGAUCCCGUCUGGCUCCACCA